rnacentral:rRNA from 1 species
GAGUUUGAUCAUGGCUCAGAUUGAACGCUGGCGGUAGGCUUAACACAUGCAAGUCGAACGGUAGCAGCUCUAGCUUGCUAGAGGCUGACGAGUGGCGGACGGGUGAGUAAUGCGUAGGAAUCUACCUAAUAGUGGGGGAUAACCUGGUGAAAACCAGACUAAUACCGCAUACGCCCUACGGGGGAAAGCGGGGGAUCUUCGGACCUCGUGCUAUUAGAUGAGCUUGCGUUAGAUUAGCUAGUUGGUGGGGUAAAGGCUCACCAAGGCGACGAUCUAUAGUUGGUCUGAGAGGAUGAUCAGCCACACUGGGACUGAGACACGGCCCAGACUCCUACGGGAGGCAGCAGUGGGGAAUAUUGCGCAAUGGGCGAAAGCCUGACGCAGCCAUACCGCGUGUGUGAAGAAGGCUCUAGGGUCGUAAAGCACUUUAAGUAGGGAGGAAGGCCUUAAGCUUAAUACGCUUGAGGAUUGACGUUACCUACAGAAUAAGCACCGGCUAACUCCGUGCCAGCAGCCGCGGUAA